UCCGGUUUAACACCGGCAGUCUCCAUAGAGUGCCCAACUAAAUGAUGGCAACUAGGGAUAAGGGUUGCGCUCGUUAAGGGACUUAACCCGACAUCUCACGAUACGAGCUGACGACAGCCAUGCAGCACCUGUCUCCCGGCCCCCGAAGGGGAAGCGGUAUCUCUACCGCGGUCCGAGGAUGUCAAGUCCAGGUAAGGUUCUUCGCGUUGCAUCGAAUUAAACCACAUGCUCCACCGCUUGUGCGGGCCCCCGUCAAUUCCUUUGAGUUUUAACCUUGCGGCCGUACUUCCCAGGCGGGGUACUUAAUGCGUUAGCGUCGACACUAGAGGGGUCAAUUCCCCUAACAUCUAGUACCCAUCGUUUACGGCGUGGACUAC
rnacentral:misc_RNA from 1 species